rnacentral:rRNA from 1 species
CCUACGGGUGGCAGCAGUCGAGAAUCAUUCACAAUGGGGGAAACCCUGAUGGUGCGACGCCGCGUGGGGGAAUGAAGGUCUUCGGAUUGUAAACCCCUGUCAUGUGGGAGCAAAUUAAAAAGAUAGUACCACAAGAAGAAGAGACGGCUAACUCUGUUCCAGCAGCCCCGGUAAUACAGAGGUCUCAAGCGUUGUUCGGAAUCACUGGGCGUAAAGCGUGCGUAGGCGGUUUCGUAAGUCGUGUGUGAAAGGCGCGGGCUCAACCCGCGGACGGCACAUGAUAAUGGGAGACUAGAGUACAGGAGGGGGAGCCGGAAUUCUGGGUGUAGCAGUGAAAUGCGUAGAUAUCGAGAGGAACACUCGUGGCGAAGGCGGGUUGCUGGACAGUAACUGACGCUGAGGCACGAAGGCCAGGGGAGCGAAAGGGAUUAGAUACCCGAGUAGUC